UACGUAGGGUGCAAGCGUUUGUCCGGAAUUAUUGGGCGUAAAGAGCUCGUAGGCGGUCUGUCGCGUCGGCUGUGAAAACCCGGAGCUCAACUCCGGGCCUGCAGUCGAUACGGGCAAACUGGAGUGUUGCAGGGGGAGACUGGAAUUCCUGGUGUAGCGGUGAAAUGCGCAGAUAUCAGGAGGAACACCGGUGGCGAAGGCGGGGUCUCUGGGCCGUAACUGACGCUGAGGAGCGAAAGCGUGGGGAGCGAACAGG
rnacentral:rRNA from 1 species